UCCCGCCAGAAACGAUAGUAAACAACGGAUAAACCGACAGAAUCGAAAACAUCUGAUGGUUCCCGCCUCCAUAAAGAUUAGCUUGGGGCUAGUUAUUUUGUGUGCGUCGGUUUUCGUUGUGUUUACUUUUAUUGAUACUUUCGCCAUUUUUGAGUUUCGAAUCGGUUUUUAAAAUUAAAGGGUAGUGUAGUCAUUUGAAUUCAUUGGCAUCUCUGUGCAAUGGCGGACCUAAUCACAUCAUGGUGCCCCAAAAAAUAAAUCUAACAUCAAUGGGGAAGAGCCUGAAGCAAGGUGUUCCCAACUUCACGAGUUGAAGGUUCAAGAGAAAUCAUCUGCUGGGAGUUUGUUCUUUGUAUUGGGCAAUCCAUGUAGAAUUAAUUCGAUGUGGAAGAAAUAUUUCGUAUUGUUUCAGGAUUUCAGCAUCACCUUUAUUCCCAAGUGAUUUGCAAAAAUUUAUUUUUGUUUGGAGCCCCAAUUUUUGAAUUAUUAGGGAUUGAAUUGCAAAAGGAUCUGAGAAAAUGAAUGAAAUCACUAAUUUGAAUCAAGCAAACCAUUGCAGUUGGUCGUUGCAAGGUGUUAUAGCAGUCCGCAUUGACAAGGUUAGGUUUUAUAUUGGGAAUUUUAAAUGCUUUUAUGAAACCCAAUGGAGACCGAGCUCUUACAGCUUUUUAAUGGAGGUGGUGACUGGUGAGGAAUCAUCUGAUAGGAGGAGAAUGCUGUGGAAGGUUUCAGCUCAUGAAAGUCUGGAUUUACUGGGGAAAUUACAAGAAUCAGAGGGCACAAGUUGCAGUAAGACCAGUCGAGGUUCUUUAAUUCAUAAUCACAAAAAUAAAGCUAGAAUGUUAUGUCAAGAGCGGUGAUAGUUGGAAGGAAAUCAAUCUUUGAGACUGCGCUCAUGCUGCUUUGUACACAUUGAUAUCCAGCUGUAGCUCGAAAGUUGAAAAUUACGUAGUGAUGGAUGAAAACAAAUUUUACGCGCAGAUUAUAAAAAGUCUAACUAUGGAAACCUUACAAUGGAUUGCGUAAAAGGCCUAAAACGGAGGUUGACUGAAAUAUUACUCAAAUCUAGCAUUUUCAUGCUGUGAUGGUUAUAUGAAUCUAAUUUCCGUGUAACAAAACAAAAAAACUGAAGUACCAGGUCAGCCAUUGGUCGACCAACAUACUACAUCUACAGUCCCCUUACAAAGCAUUUCAAGGUAUUGUCAAGACCUCAAAUGAAAUGACGUGGUUACCUUUGGGUUUGCAGUGCUAGCUUAGGUUUUGACCCUCUCCAAUCACCUCAUUACAAAGUUGUCUGCGUUUGGAGAAAUGAUAUGGUUAGUCAUCAUAUGGAAAUCUACUCUUCCGGUACAGACUCUUGGUGGAUUUCUGAAUGUCCUCUGCCUGCACCUAAAAUUAUGUUCUACAGUUCUGGUGUUUUUUGGAAUGGUUCAUUGCAUUGGAUAAGCUUGCGAAAUUCUUCCUUCUAUUUUGAUAUUGAUCAAGAUGUAAUAAAGGUAAUGCCAAUGCCACCUAUCAAUCCUGGAAUUGAUAAAAUUAGGGUCGAGUACUUUGGGGUGUGCAAAGGUCAUUUGAACCUUAUUCAGACGAGUGGUUCAACCGCGACUAGGUUUGACGUCUUGGAGAUGGAGAGUGAUUAAAGUGGGUGGAAUGUGAAGUAUCAUGUUAAUCUUGAAGCACUAACAAAUUCAUACUUCGAAAGACCAGAGUUACUGAAUCAUUCUAGAUUCUCAGUAUUACUUGUUCAUGAAGAAGAAGAAUCAUCGUCAUUGGUGUUACAGAUACAAGAUAAGAUCAUUUCUUAUGAUAUCAGGAGCAGAAGAUUCGUCAAACUGCACAAUUUAUCACGACUUCAGGGAAAUGUUCCGAAAUUGUACCGAUAUUAUGAUGCCUAUCAAUAUAUUCCGACACUUUCUAGUGUUUGAUUAUUGUCCUGCCUUUAUUUUAUGUGUAUGUCAAUGUAAUUGUUUGAUCCAAGAAGUUUGGUUACUAUUAAUAGAAUGCCCUGUGUUUUGUUCCCA